GGCAAGUUUAAGUCAACCGGUGACGUGGCUCGACUGAUAUCCAUGGCAUAUAAUUCUCUUAGUCCAAGAUCAUUAAGAGAUUUUGUCACAUCAAGGGCUUCUUGAGACUGGUAAUUCUUCAGUAACACAGUGUGUGAAGGAUCAAAUUCACAUUUACUACAGAUAAUUGGUAUGAGUUCCUGAAGCGGUGAAUAUGGACUAACUCUUACUACUGUCUUCUGUGUCUUCUUGUAGUUUAUCACUACCCUUACUGUUUGCUCUGGAAUCACUGGAACAGGUUUCUUCUUAUCCAUUUGUUUUGGUUUUACAAUCACCUUUUCCACUUCAAGCAUUCCCACUGGUGUAUUAGGUUUGAAUUUAAUCUGGCAGUUUUCUGCUGAUAUCAACUCUAUAGUGUAGCUUGAGGGGUUUAAAUGAUACUGUGCACAGAGAAAGAUCAGCAAGUCCAUCAUGGGCUUCCUCCCAUUAACUGUAGUGUAUUUGAUCACAUCUCCUGGCAGGACCACUGACA
rnacentral:lncRNA from 1 species